GACGUAGGGGGCAAGCGUUGUCCGGAAUCAUUGGGCGUAAAGCGCUCGUAGGUGGAUCGGUAAGUCUGCAAAGAAAGACCCGGGCUCAACUCGGGGAACGGUGUGGAUACUACCGAUCUUGAGGCAAUCAGAGGAUGAUGGAAUUCCCGGUGUAGCGGUGAAAUGCGUAGAUAUCAGGAGGAACACCUGCGGUGUAGACGGCUUUCUGGACCAUUGCUGACGCUGAGACACGAAAGCGUGGGUAGCAAACAGG
rnacentral:rRNA from 1 species